GAUGAACGCUGGCGGCGUGCCUAAUACAUGCAAGUCGAGCGAAUGGAUUAAGAGCUUGCUCUUAUGAAGUUAGCGGCGGACGGGUGAGUAACACGUGGGUAACCUGCCCAUAAGACUGGGAUAACUCCGGGAAACCGGGGCUAAUACCGGAUAACAUUUUGAACCGCACGGUUCGAAAUUGAAAGGCGGCUUCGGCUGUCACUUAUGGAUGGACCCGCGUCGCAUUAGCUAGUUGGUGAGGUAACGGCUCACCAAGGCAACGAUGCGUAGCCGACCUGGGGGGGUGAUCGGCCACACUGGAACUGAGACACGGCCCAGACUCCUACGGGAGGCAGCAGUAGGGAAUCUUCCGCAAUGGACGAAAGUCUGACGGAGCAACGCCGCGUGAGUGAUGAAGGCUUUCGGGUCGUAAAACUCUGUUGUUAGGGAAGAACAAGUGCUAGUUGAAUAAGCUGGCACCCUGACGGUACCUAACCAGAAAGCCACGGCUAACUACGUGCCAGCCGCCGCCGUAA
rnacentral:rRNA from 1 species